rnacentral:rRNA from 1 species
UACGGGCAGACUAGAGUGCGGUAGGGGAGAUUGGAAUUCCUGGUGUAGCGGUGGAAUGCGCAGAUAUCAGGAGGAACACCAAUGGCGAAGGCAGAUCUCUGGGCCGUAACUGACGCUGAGGAGCGAAAGCAUGGGGAGCGAACAGGAUUAGAUACCCUGGUAGUCCAUGCCGUAAACGUUGGGAACUAGAUGUGGGGACCAUUCCACGGUCUCCGUGUCGCAGCUAACGCAUUAAGUUCCCCGCCUGGGGAGUACGGCCGCAAGGCUAAAACUCAAAGGAAUUGACGGGGGCCCGCACAAGCGGCGGAGCAUGCGGAUUAAUUCGAUGCAACGCGAAGAACCUUACCAAGGCUUGACAUAUACGAGAAUGGGCCAGAAAUGGUCAGCUCUUUGGACACUCGUAUACAGGUGGUGCAUGGUUGUCGUCAGCUCGUGUCGUGAGAUGUUGGGUUAAGUCCCGCAACGAGCGCAACCCUCGUCCUAUGUUGCCAGCACGUAAUGGUGGGAACUCAUGGGAUACUGCCGGGGUCAACUCGGAGGAAGGUGGGGAUGACGUCAAAUCAUCAUGCCCCUUAUGUCUUGGGCUUCACGCAUGCUACAAUGGCCGGUACAAAGGGCUGCAAUACCGCAAGGUGGAGCGAAUCCCAAAAAGCCGGUCUCAGUUCGGAUUGAGGUCUGCAACUCGACCUCAUGAAGUCGGAGUCGCUAGUAAUCGCAGAUCAGCAACGCUGCGGUGAAUACGUUCCCGGGCCUUGUACACACCGCCCGUCAAGUCAUGAAAGUCGGUAACACCCGAAGCC